ACAUAUAGUUUCAUAAAGUUUGUGUCACAUUCAACACUUUGUGACUAGAGUUUACCAAUCCUUUUCCAUAUGCCAAAAUAUCCUAUGUAUGGAAUGUGUAUCUUGAGGAGCUAUAACAACCAUGUAUUCAAAAGUUUUUCAUUUGAGGUCAUUUAGUGCCUAGUUUGACCUAGUUUGACCAAGUCAAAUUUUGGAUUUUUUCUAAAAAGUCACUUUGACCGGACCCUUGGUAGCCUCAGAUACAAAAGUCAUGAAUACAAGGUUUGUCCAGCUCAUCAAGAUACACAUUGUGUGUAAGGGUCAACUUUUCAUCUGAGAGAGUUUGGACCACUCAAAAUUU
rnacentral:lncRNA from 1 species